rnacentral:rRNA from 1 species
UACGUAGGGGGGCAAGCGUUGUCCGGAUUUAUUGGGCGUAAAGCGCGUGUAGGCGGCCAGAUAGGUCUGCUGUGAAAACUCGAGGCUCAACCUCGAGCUGUCGGCGGAAACCCCCUAACUAGAGUCCGGAAGAGGAGAGUGGAAUUCCUGGUGUAGCGGUGAAAUGCGCAGAUAUCAGGAAGAACACCGUGGCGAAAGCGGCUCUCUGGGACGGUACUGACGCUGAGACGCGAAAGCGUGGGAGCGAACGGG